UCGGGUAUGGUGUAACGGCUAACAUUGCCGCCUCUCAUGAAGGCCUGAGUCGAGAUAAACGGUGCGCGGCAGCUCGGGGUUCGAUUCCCCGUACCCGAA